rnacentral:rRNA from 1 species
UACGUAGGUGGCAAGCGUUGUCCGGAUUUACUGGGCGUAAAGAGCGCGCAGGCGGUCGUUCAAGUCGCGUGUGAAAGCCCCCGGCUCAACUGGGGAGGGUCACGCGAUACUGAUCGACUCGAAGGCAGGAGAGGGUAGUGGAAUUCCCGGUGUAGUGGUGAAAUGCGUAGAUAUCGGGAGGAACACCGAUAGCGAAGGCAGCUUGCUGGGCCAAUCCUGACACUGAGGUACGAAAGCGUGGGGAGCGAACAGG